GGCCGUGCGGGUGCUUACCAUGCAGUCGAACGAUGAAGCCCUUCGGGGUGGAUUAGUGGCGAACGGGUGAGUAACACGUGGGCAAUCUGCCCUUCACUCUGGGACAAGCCCUGGAAACGGGGUCUAAUACCGGAUAAUACUUUCUCCCGCAUGGGAGAGGGUUGAAAGCUCCGGCGGUGAAGGAUGAGCCCGCGGCCUAUCAGCUUGUUGGUGGGGUGAUGGCCUACCAAGGCGACGACGGGUAGCCGGCCUGAGAGGGCGACCGGCCACACUGGGACUGAGACACGGCCCAGACUCCUACGGGAGGCAGCAGUGGGGAAUAUUGCACAAUGGGCGAAAGCCUGAUGCAGCGACGCCGCGUGAGGGAUGACGGCCUUCGGGUUGUAAACCUCUUUCAGCAGGGAAGAAGCGAAAGUGACGGUACCUGCAGAAGAAGCGCCGGCUAACUACGUGCCAGCAGCCGCGGUAAUACGUAGGGCGCAAGCGUUGUCCGGAAUUAUUGGGCGUAAAGAGCUCGUAGGCGGCUUGUCACGUCGGAUGUGAAAGCCCGGGGCUUAACCCCGGGUCUGCAUUCGAUACGGGCAGGCUAGAGUGUGGUAGGGGAGAUCGGAAUUCCUGGUGUAGCGGUGAAAUGCGCAGAUAUCAGGAGGAACACCGGUGGCGAAGGCGGAUCUCUGGGCCAUUACUGACGCUGAGGAGCGAAAGCGUGGGGAGCGAACAGGAUUAGAUACCCUGGUUAGUCCACGCCGUAAACGUUGGGAACUAGGUGUUGGGCGACAUUCCACGUCGUCGGUGCCGCAGCUAACGGCAUUUAAGUUCCCCGACUGGGAGUACGGGCGGCAGGCUAAAAACUCAAAAGGAAUUGAACGGGGGGUCGC
rnacentral:rRNA from 1 species